GUUUCUAUAGUUUAUAAAAACCUUGGUCUUGUAAAUCAAAAAUAAGAUAUUUUCUUUAGAAACU
rnacentral:tRNA from 1 species